CAGCCGCCGCGGUAAUACGUAGGGUGCAAGCGUUAAUCGGAAUUACUGGGCGUAAAGCGUGCGCGGGCGGUUUGUUAAGACAGAUGUGAAAUCCCCGGGCUCAACCUGGGAACUGCAUUUGUGACUGGCAAGCUAGAGUGUGGCAGAGGGGGGUGGAAUUCCGCGUGUAGCAGUGAAAUGCGUAGAUAUGCGGAGGAACAUCAGUGGCGAAGGCGGCCAUCUGGGACAACACUGACGCUGAGGCACGAAAGCGUGGGGAGCAAACAGGAUUAGAUACCCCGGUAGUCCCUGUCUCUUAUAA
rnacentral:rRNA from 1 species